CCUACGGGAGGCAGCAGUGAGGAAUAUUGGUCAAUGGACGAAAGUCUGAACCAGCCAAGUAGCGUGCAGGAUGACUGCCCUAUGGGUUGUAAACUUCUUUUAUAUGGGAAUAAAAUGUUCCACGUGUGGGAUUUUGUAUGUACCAUAUGAAUAAGGAUCGGCUAACUCCGUGCCAGCAGCCGCGGUAAUACGGAGGGUCCGAGCGUUAUCCGGAUUUAUUGGGUUUAAAGGGAGCGUAGGUGGAUUGUUAAGUCAGUUGUGAAAGUUUGCGGCUCAACCGUAAAAUUGCAGUUGAAACUGGCAGUCUUGAGUACAGUAGAGGUGGGCGGAAUUCGUGGUGUAGCGGUGAAAUGCUUAGAUAUCACGAAGAACUCCGAUUGCGAAGGCAGCUUACUGGACUGCAACUGACACUGAGGCUCGAAAGUGCGGGUAUCAAACAGGAUUAGAUACCCGUGUAGUC
rnacentral:rRNA from 1 species